rfam:Triticum aestivum genome assembly, contig: Triticum_aestivum_CS42_TGACv1_scaffold_542733_6DS
UUAGUGCUCCCUCCAUCUCAAAAUUCUUGUCUUAGAUUUGUCUAGAUACGGAUGUAUCUAAUACUAAAAUGUGACUUGAUACAUCCAUAUUUAGACAAAUCUAAGAGAAGAAUUUUGGGACGGAGGGAGUAUUAU